UCGAAGGUCAGGACAACGGAACAGAAGUUCCCAAUUAAGUCCCACCAAGACAACACAAAUACAGACGUACAUAAAAACUAUUUACAACAGUAAAAAUUAAUCUCGAUUGAAGAAUGCUCGAAUGGUUAAUCUAUUGAGAAUAUUAAAACUCAGUUUGUGACUAAUAUAUAUGAAAAAAAUGUAUCAAGAGUUGUAACGAAAACUGAGCAUAUUAAGCAUAUAACAGAUUAACCCAUCGAUCAUGCUACGUGCACCUAGGUAUUACGAGCAGCAGUUUAUUUGCAGUGAUCUACAAUUACUGCAUAGUGUUUUCCAAGUUCUACACCUAUCUGCAUCAAAUACUGUAAUCAGUUUAUUAAAGUAAUAUUCAUAUAGUUUAGCUUUAAGGAUGUAUACGGAAGAAGAUUUAAUAUCACUAGGCAAGCUGUUCCAUAGAUACACAAUUCUAUUGAAGUACGAGUUCCUGAAGAGAGUUGUUC